CGUCAUGGACGGCCAUGACGCAGAACAAUAAGCGGCGGGACGACCUGC
rnacentral:ncRNA from 1 species